ACCUUCUGUGGUUUGGGCGAUCGUGUGGUUGAGACGAAGCCCUUACCCCAAAAGGUGU
rnacentral:pre_miRNA from 2 species